rnacentral:rRNA from 1 species
GAAACCGUGUACGUACAAGCAGUGGGAGCACGCUUAGGCGUGUGACUGCGUACCUUUUGUAUAAUGGGUCAGCGACUUAUAUUCUGUAGCAAGGUUAACCGAAUAGGGGAGCCGAAGGGAAACCGAGUCUUAACUGGGCGUUAAGUUGCAGGGUAUAGACCCGAAACCCGGUGAUCUAGCCAUGGGCAGGUUGAAGGUUGGGUAACACUAACUGGAGGACCGAACCGACUAAUGUUGAAAAAUUAGCGGAUGACUUGUGGCUGGGGGUGAAAGGCCAAUCAAACCGGGAGAUAGCUGGUUCUCCCCGAAAGCUAUUUAGGUAGCGCCUCGUGAAUUCAUCUCCGGGGGUAGAGCACUGUUUCGGCAAGGGGGUCAUCCCGACUUACCAACCCGAUGCAAACUGCGAAUACCGGAGAAUGUUAUCACGGGAGACACACGGCGGGUGCUAACGUCCGUCGUGAAGAGGGAAACAACCCAGACCGCCAGCUAAGGUCCCAAAGUCAUGGUUAAGUGGGAAACGAUGUGGGAAGGCCCAGACAGCCAGGAUGUUGGCUUAGAAGCAGCCAUCAUUUAAAGAAAGCGUAAUAGCUCACUGGUCGAGUCGGCCUGCGCGGAAGAUGUAACGGGGCUAAACCAUGCACCGAAGCUGCGGCAGCGACGCUUAUGCGUUGUUGGGUAGGGGAGCGUUCUGUAAGCCUGCGAAGGUGUGCUGUGAGGCAUGCUGGAGGUAUCAGAAGUGCGAAUGCUGACAUAAGUAACGAUAAAGCGGGUGAAAAGCCCGCUCGCCGGAAGACCAAGGGUUCCUGUCCAACGUUAAUCGGGGCAGGGUGAGUCGACCCCUAAGGCGAGGCCGAAAGGCGUAGUCGAUGGGAAACAGGUUAAUAUUCCUGUACUUGGUGUUACUGCGAAGGGGGGACGGAGAAGGCUAUGUUGGCCGGGCGACGGUUGUCCCGGUUUAAGCGUGUAGGCUGGUUUUCCAGGCAAAUCCGGAAAAUCAAGGCUGAGGCGUGAUGACGAGGCACUACGGUGCUGAAGCAACAAAUGCCCUGCUUCCAGGAAAAGCCUCUAAGCAUCAGGUAACAUCAAAUCGUACCCCAAACCGACACAGGUGGUCAGGUAGAGAAUACCAAGGCGCUUGAGAGAACUCGGGUGAAGGAACUAGGCAAAAUGGUGCCGUAACUUCGGGAGAAGG